rnacentral:rRNA from 1 species
UACGGAGGGAGCUAGCGUUGUUCGGAAUUACUGGGCGUAAAGAGCGUGUAGGCGGUUCGGUAAGUCUGUCGUGAAAACCCGAGGCUCAACCUCGGGCCUGCAGUGGGUACGGGCAGACUAGAGUGCGGUAGGGGAGAUUGGAAUUCCUGGUGUAGCGGUGAAAUGCGCAGAUAUCAGGAGGAACACCGGUGGCGAAGGCGGCCCGCUGGGCAGGAAGGGGUGGGUAACCACCCCGGCUGACACUGAGGCGCGACAGCGUGGGGAGCAAACAGG